rnacentral:rRNA from 1 species
AUUCCAGCUCUAAUAGCGUAUAUUAAAGUUGUUGCGGUUAAAACGCUCGUAGUUGGAUUUUGGGGCCCUGUCCGUCGGUCCGGCGCAAGCUUGGUACUGACAGUGGGGUUCUUCUGUCUGGAAACUCAGCGUCGGCACUUCAUUGGGCUGCGUUGAGGGUCUAGGACCUUUACUUUGAGCAAAUUGGAGUGUUUAAAGCAGGCAAUCGCCUUGAACACAUUAGCAUGGAAUAAGCAAAUAGGACCUCGGUCUUAUUUAUUGGUUUUAGAGACCGAAGUAAUGAUUAAUAGGGACAGUUGGGGGCAUUAGUAUUUAAUUGUCAGAGGUGAAAUUCUUAGAUUUAUGAAAGACUAACUACUGCGAAAGCAUUUGCCAAGGAUGUUUUCAUCA